CAGUAGCCGCGGGAAUACGUAGGGUGCGAGCGUUAAUCGGAAUUACUGGGCGUAAAGCGUGCGCAGGCGGUUAUGCAAGACAGAUGUGAAAUCCCCGGGCUUAACCUGGGAACUGCAUUUGUGACUGCAUGGCUAGAGUGCGGCAGAGGGGGAUGGAAUUCCGCGUGUAGCAGUGAAAUGCGUAGAUAUGCGGAGGAACACCGAUGGCGAAGGCAAUCCCCUGGGCCUGCACUGACGCUCAUGCACGAAAGCGGGGGGAGCAAACAGGAUUAGAUACCCGGGUAGUCCCUGUCUCUUAUAC
rnacentral:rRNA from 1 species